rnacentral:tRNA from 1 species
UGGUGAGUAGUUUAAGUAAAACAAAUGAUUUCGACUCAUUAGAUUAUGAUAAUCAUACUGACCAA